rnacentral:tmRNA from 1 species
GGGGGUGCACCGGUUUCGACAGGGAGUACUGAAGUUUUAUGGGCGUGUCCAGGUUGAUCGGCAUGGUCCUGGUAAAAAGUCGAUCAAAACAUAAAUGUAGAAUCUAACGAUUUUUCAUACGCAAUGGCCGCUUAAUUUAAUUAAGCCCGUUCGUUGAGGUGGUUACAGCCGAUAACAAAGUGUGUGACAAAUAUGGUGUUGGAGCAUGUAAAACUUCAAUCGUUGAGUCGCCGGGAAGCCAACGUUAAAAAUCACUGGGCUGUUCUCUGAAGACAAGCAGGGAUAGUCUUCGCUUUGAGACAAUAAUUCAAAGCUACACACGUAGUCCGCUUUACAGAUGAUUCUUUGGACGUGGGUUCGAUUCCCACCACCUCCACCA